GCUCCAAGUCCACCGGGUAGUGCUACUGCCGGCCCAUCCACGAAUUUCCCUCUGUAAUCCAUCUCUCAUCGCGGCGGUUCGUUCAUCAUCGGUGGCUUAUCUCAUGAUUAUAAGAUAGCUUAUUCACCCCAAAAGACGGAGUCACCAAAAUCAUCGGUUGGAUCGUGCUCAUCACCACGUUCCAGAGUCCCGAUUAAUUCUCAAGAGUCUUUCCCUUUCAGCCUUCUUCUGUGCCCUUCUAACAAACAGCUUCUUUGAUCCUGAGAUUGAUGACAAUAUGAAGAAAUUACAUUAGCAUAUAAUCACCAGGACUAUGUGGUCCAAUGGUACCCGGGUUGGAUUUCCAUUUGGAAGAUUGUGAG